AUUGAACGCUGGCGGCAGGCUUAACACAUGCAAGUCGAGCGGGGUGAUGGUGCUUGCACUAUCACUUAGCGGCGGACGGGUGAGUAAUGCUUAGGAAUCUGCCUAUUAGUGGGGGACAACAUCUCGAAAGGGAUGCUAAUACCGCAUACGUCCUACGGGAGAAAGCAGGGGAUCACUUGUGACCUUGCGCUAAUAGAUGGGCCUAAGUCGGAUUAGCUAGUUGGUGGGGUAAAGGCCUACCAAGGCGACGAUCUGUAGCGGGUCUGAGAGGAUGAUCCGCCAGACUGGGACUGAGACACGGCCCAGACUCUUACGGGAGGAAGCAGUGGGGAAUAUUGGACAAUGGGGGGAACCCUGAUCCAGCCAUGCCGCGUGUGAAGAAGGCCUUAUGGUUGUAAAGCACUUUAAGCGAGGAGGAGGCUCUUUUGGUUAAUACCCAAGAUGAGUGGACGUUACUCGCAGAAUAAGCACCGGCUAACUCUGUGCCAGCCGCCGCGGUAA
rnacentral:rRNA from 1 species